rnacentral:piRNA from 1 species
UGACCAAGAGGAGAAGGUCAUUCCACC